rnacentral:misc_RNA from 1 species
GAUGAAGAACGUAGUGAAAUGCGAUAAUUAAUGUGAAUUGCAGAAUUCAGUGAAUCAUCGAGUCUUUGAACGCACAUUGCGCCCCCUGGUAUUCCGGGGGGCAUGCCUGUCCGAGCGUCAUUGCUGCCCUCAAGCACGGCUUGUGUGUUGGGCUUCCGUCCCUGGCAGCGGGGACGGGCCCAAAAGGCAGUGGCGGCACCAUGUCUGGUCCUCGAGCGUAUGGGGCUUUGUCACCCGCUCCCGUAGGUCCAGCUGGCAGCUAGCCUCGCAACCAAUCUUUUUAACCAGGUUGACCUCGGAUCAGGUAGGGAUACCCGCUGAACUUAAGCAUAUCAAUAAGCGGAGGA